UAUGUAGGGGGCAAGCGUUGUCCGGAUUUAUUGGGCGUAAAGAGCGUGUAGGCGGCUAGAUAGGUCCGUUGUGAAAACUCGAGGCUCAACCUCGAGACGUCGAUGGAAACCAUCUAGCUAGAGUCCGGAAGAGGAGAGUGGAAUUCCUGGUGUAGCGGUGAAAUGCGCAGAUAUCAGGAAGAACACCCGUGGCGAAGGCGGCUCUCUGGUACGUGACUGACGCUGAGACGCGAAAGCGUGGGGAGCAAACAGG
rnacentral:rRNA from 1 species